rnacentral:piRNA from 1 species
GUCACACAUAGGUUCCAUUUCAUGGAAUAG